UGGUUAGAAAAAAGUUGCUGGAGUGGAGGGGGGGCGCUUCAGCUGAAGCCAUACGCCGCCAUCUUGCCAUUGGCAGGAAGCACGCCUGGCCUCGUCCGUGCGGGUGCCGCAUUACUGCCGCGGAGACGAAAAAAGAAUGUGUUCGCGAGUGUGACUCAAGUAAGGAAUAAUGGUGUCGUCGUGCGUCGCCUACGGGUGCACAAAUAGAGCGAAGAAAGGAUCGGGAAUUACUUUUCAUCUAUUCCCCAAAAGGACCCAGGUGCGAAACCAGUGGAAAGGAGCGGUUCGCCGAGAAGGCUAGGAGCCUAAAAACGGGGACCAAUUGUGCUCCGUGCAUUUCACUCCGCAAUGCUUCGAUCGAACUGGACAAACAGUUCGGCUGCGACAUGGGAGCUUGCCGACGGUGUUUCCAGCGUUCCCAAAAUACCUGCAAAAGCC